UAGGGAAUAUUGCGCAAUGCCCGAAAGGGUGACGCAGCGACGCCGCGUGAGGGAUGAAGGCCUUCGGGUUGUAAACCUCUGCCACCCGGGAAGAACAUGCUGGGGGUGAAUAAUCCCUGGCGUUGACGUUACCGGGAAAGGAAGCACCGGCUAACUCUGUGCCAGCAGCUGCGGUAAUACAGAGGGUGCUAACGUUGCUCGGAUUCACUGGGCGUAAAGGGCACGUAGGUGGUCCGGUAACUCAGUCGUGGAAUCCCGCCGCUCACCGGUGGAAUUGCGACUGAAAAUGCCAGACUUGAGCGCAGGAGGGGUGAGGGGAACUCUAGGUGGAGCGGUGAAAUGCGUAGAUAUCUAGAGGAACGCCGGAGGCGAAAGCGCCUCACUGGCCUGCUGCUGACACUGAGGUGCGAAAGCCAGGGGAGCAAACGGGAUUAGAUACCCCGGUAGUCCUGGCUGUAAACGAUGCUCACUAAGUAGGGGGAAACCUG
rnacentral:rRNA from 1 species